rnacentral:tRNA from 2 species
GAGGCCUUAGCUUAAUUAAAGUGACUGGGUUGCAAUCAGUAGAUGUAUUUUAGAGUUUUACAGGUCUUG